CAAAGUGAAAGUUAAACACCAGGGGCAUUUUCAUGGCAUGUUCAACCAGGAAAUUGGAAUUUCUAUUAUAAUCCGAACAUAUCACCUGAAAGAACGCAAAAAGUUCUAUAAGUCUGCCAAGUUUGGUUUGGUAUUUCCCUCUAUAUCAUGUUUUAUCGCAAUUUGAAAACCGUACAUAAGUCAGUUUUCACGCCGCUCGGGCCGUCGGCGUAUUCAAAAUGGCGCCUGCGCUAAUGUAUUAAAUCCCAUACCCCAAUUUCAAAGUGCGCGCGCCCAGAAUGGGCCUAGAUGUAAUACUAACUUUGAUUGGUCGUCGCUUCGCUGAAAUAAGUCGUACAGCCAAUCCAAGACCAGCUUCUGAAAGCUAAUAUUUGGGAGAAACCAACUUGCCUAUGCGGGGAUAGCUUGGUGCAGUGCAGGGUUAGUGCGUGCGGUGUUGAAAAUAGGUCAUUUUUCUUCACGUAGUAACUCAAAAUUUCUUAAAGAUAUCAAACUCCGCAUAGAAUGUGUGUGUAGGUAGCAGUGUUGUUCACAUUUGUGUGGAUUUUCGUGGCCAUAGAAGCAAUAAUAUUCGUGCGAUGGCCAUCGGCGCGGAGAGUGUCAGUCGGAGAGACGACGUUUUCAAGGCGCCGCCAUUUUCCCUGCUGUCCAGAGGCAUGAAGGACGUAACUUUCCGGCUAGACGAAGAUGGACUUCCCACAUCAAGAUGUACAUUCCAGUCCCUCACAAACUGGGAUGUCCUGGAAAUGUUCGCUACACGCAAACAUACUUAUGCUCUCACACCUGUAAAAAGAUCCAAGCUAAGGAGACUCCUAUGGCGCAGCUCCGUCACGUCGCGCUGUACAAAUAGCAGAGAGCAGUGAAUCCAGCGACGAGGAGACACCUCUGGCGCAGCUUCGCCAUCCCAGAAGUGGCCCAUGAUGUGGGUUCGCCAUCGCAUCGGCACUAUAGACAGGUCACGAGGACCCAUGCAGCUCCAGCGAAGACUUCGGUGAAGACGACAUGCCGUUGGCACACCUUGCAUAUAGGGAAGGAGGCACCUGUUACAAAAUGCCAUGUUUAGAUUUAUCAGUAUAUG